rnacentral:rRNA from 1 species
UGCAAGUCGAGCGAACCUUCGGGUUAGCGGCGGACGGGUUAGUAACCCCCUGGAAAAUGUACCCUUCUCUACGGAAUAGCCUCGGGAAACUGAGAGUAAUACCGUAUACGCCCUUUUGGGGAAAGAUUUAUCGGAGAAGGACCAGCCCGCGUUAGAUUAGAUAGUUGGUGGGGUAAUGGCCUACCAAGUCGACGAUCUAUAGCUGGUUUUAGAGGAUGAUCAGCAACACUGGGACUGAGACACGGCCCAGACUCCUACGGGAGGCAGCAGUGGGGAAUCUUAGACAAUGGGCGCAAGCCUGAUCUAGCCAUGCCGCGUGAGUGAUGAAGGCCUUAGGGUCGUAAAGCUCUUUCGCCAGGGAUGAUAAUGACAGUACCUGGUAAAGAAACCCCGGCUAACUCCGUGCCAGCAGCCGCGGUAAUACGGAGGGGGUUAGCGUUGUUCGGAAUUACUGGGCGUAAAGCGCACGUAGGCGGACUAUUAAGUCAGGGGUGAAAUCCCGGGGCUCAACCCCGGAACUGCCUUUGAUACUGGUAGUCUUGAGUUCGAGAGAG